rnacentral:rRNA from 1 species
UACAGAGGGUGCAAGCGUUAAUCGGAAUUACUGGGCGUAAAGCGUGCGUAGACGGUUACAUAAGUCGGGUGUGAAAGCCCCGGGCUCAACCUGGGAAUUGCGAUGGAGACUGCAAGGCUAGAAUCUGGCAGAGGGGGGUAGAAUUCCACGUGUAGCAGUGAAAUGCGUAGAGAUGUGGAGGAACACCGAUGGCGAAGGCAGCCCCCUGGGUCAAGAUUGACGCUCAUGCACGAAAGCGUGGGGAGCAAACAGG